GCCCGGCUAGCUCAAUCGGUAGAGCGUGAGACUCUUAGCUUUCACGUCCUCCAAGACACGAUUGGUUAUCUCAAGGUUGUGGGUUCGACCCCCACGUCGGGCU